CGGGCGGGGGCGGGAGCGGAGCCCAGCCCGUACGCGCCGCUGCCGGGGCCGGGGCCGCGCCACCCGGCACCACCCCGGCGCGGGACCGCGCGGGUCGAGCCCAGCCCGCUGCUGCGGACGGUGUGGUGGUUGAGACGCCGGGGGGUACCCGGGAGAAGCUGCCGUCCUGAGGGGAAGGUGUUGCCCGCCGGCCGUAACCUGCCUCGCUGCAGAGCAGCAGCUCCCACCAGACGAGCUGAAGGAACUCGGGCAGGGGCCGUGUGCCAGGCCCCACCACCUCUCACCUGCCUCACCCAACAAGCUGAGGCUCCCACCUGGGCACCAACCCUGACCUGUUUAUCUUUCAAAACGUACCACUCCACCUUGAGUUAGACUGAAGUGCCGACAUAACAGAAUUUAAACCCAAUUUUCAGUUUUUCUUUCCUUAAAACUAACAUAGUCUUCACUGAGAGUGUGCGACACAUGGCAAAGUCAGUUCCGGCAUGAAGCCUUUUAAUUUAUGAGUGCAACUUGGGUAUGACAGUGACUUUGAUUACUUACAAAAAUAUCAUGGUUUGCAGAUACGUUGCAUUCUGCAUAUAUAAAAAAGUAUAUUCAUCAGGCAGGCAUGGCGCUCAUUUUGUGGUUGCUGUGUGGAGACAUCCUGGCCAUCUACUAACCUACUUUCCCCUGUAUUUGAGAAUGGCAGGAAUAGAUUACUAAUGUUGGCUUGCAGAUCUGUGCACAACACAGCUAUUACCAAUUCUGUCUCUUCUUUUUAAAGUGACAUCUGUCAAAUUAUCUAAGAUCUUCACCUCCUACAAGUAUACAGCAUAGCUGCAAGUUUCUUAGCAAUUCGGUAUUAACUCAAAGUAAAAAUUAGUAUGUUUGCUUGCUAAAUAAGUCUGUUCCAGGAUGUAUAUUUAGUAACAGCUAUAUGUUUUUCUGGCAGAGAGAAGUGAUAUGAUACUUCAACCAAGACUUACUUGUUUUUAAGGACUUGAUCCUAGAGAAGACUUCUCAGGCUUUACCUAAGCAAAUUACACCAGGAAAUUGCUAGUACUUAGGCAUGAAGGAAAACAGUGCUAGUUCACUCCUGACUGCAAUAUUAAUAUUUAGCAGCUGGCAUAGAAACAUCUUGGAAGGUUAAAAACAAAACAUACUCGUAAUCCCACAAUCCAUACGAUAGCAUAAGUGAACACGCACCUCAUUUCCUGAUGAGUAUAUCCUGCUGCAGCAUGCUGCUUUUAAAAUCUGCCAAGUGAGAAGCAGUAAGUUUAAGAAAUUCAGUCUCUUUGUUUAUACUCAUUUGCAUCCAUUUAAUACAAACCCCUGCUACCCUUACAAAAACAUACAUACACAAGCAUUCUUUCUGCCACUUUUGCUUACAAACUGUUGCCUACAAGUCAUUCCACUGAUAUGGUUGGGACUCCUUCUUUAAAGCAUCAGUCACUUCGACUAGGGGAACAGGAUAUGAAGAAGAUCCCGUGCAUUACUUCUUCUAUCAGACAUGCAGUUCAUAUGUUACAAAAACACCGAGAUGUCUUUUAAACUGUCAUAAAUUAACACUAUGAAAAAUAAUCAGAUCUUUGCAAUAUCUCAUCGUUUUAGAAGGCACCUCACUGAGGGACCAGGAGUGAGUGGGCAUGUACUGCAGGAUUCCCCACCAGAGCACUCAUUAAACACAGCGCCUGCUGCUUGGCAGAAAUGGGUACCUGCUGCAAAAUACAGGUUGGGGUCUACUUUUCGUAAUAUAGCAGAGCUAUAUCUCUUGGUUUUGUGAGCUGUUGAUGUAGAUUGAAAGCGGAGCGUGAAUUACAUAGAUCAUCUCCAGAUGAGACAAUCUAUAUAACUUUAAAAAUAAAUGGAGCUGGUAUAUUUCCCAUCUAGUUCAUAGAAAACCUACUUUCUUAAUGUGUUAGAGCUGACACUGAUUUUAAGGUAUCCCUUUAUCUGUAAAGCCACAAUUGCCUCAGUGUUACCAGUUUAAUACUAUGACAGCAGGAGAGAACAUCUUCAUUAAUACCUUUUAGAAAUUUCCAAACAUAUUCUAAAAGACUUCCCUUAUUACAUAGCAUCAUGAAUGUACAUAAUGCUUCUCCUUGAAUGCCCUGCCUUCGUUUCAC